AUCACCGGCAAGAGUGAGGAGUAUUGGCAGCAGCACGCAGGCGGGCAGGCUGGGAGUUUGCAUGGAAAUCAUGAAGUCUUGUCUUUCUCUUUUCAAAUGUUUUGGAAGGAGAGUUAAGAAUAGCUCAGAAACCAAACCGGUCUCGCUCUUUUUUGUGGGAAGAAUGACCUGCAGCAUAAAAGCUAAAUCUUGCAGCAAGUGCAAGACACUUCUUUCGGGUGUUUGCAGGCAACCUAACAGAAUGAAUGGUUGUCUGUAAAGGACUGUGCCAUGACACCCAAAAUGAAGGGACUGGUAAAGCAAAGUAAUGACUCAAAGGCUGCCACGGAGCUUUUGUCUACUUUUAACUCAUUGUGGCAAAGUUGGACAUUCCAAAGAUGGCGUAGAUGAACAUGACCAGGAAGAGCAGGAGGCCGAUGUUGAACAGCGCAGGCAGGGACAUCAUCAAAGCAAAUAGCAACGUGCGGAUCCCCUUGGCCCCUUUGAUCAGGCGCAGGAUGCGGCCAAUCCUGGCAAGACGGAUCACUCGGAACAGGACAGUGCUAACAGCCUACAUCUGCUGAGGAAAUGAGGGCACUGGUGGCAUCUCUCUUGUUUCCAACUGGCAUAAAGCAACGAGCAGGCACUUAGGAAAUGUGAGUUGAAAAAAUGAAUAGCCACGGUUUAUAGACUAUAUACCCCCAUCAAUUCCUUUGCCAUUUUUUUCUUCUACAAUGAUCACAGUGAAUGAGAAGUGUAUAGGGACUUUGCUUCCUUUAGGAACAUAUACUUUGUAUAACUGUGUUUGCAGUGUUUUAAGUGACACUCUCUUGAAAGGUGGAAGUUUCUGUAAAAUUUGAAGGUUUCAUUGAUCUCCUUUCUCCAAGGGCCUCUGCUAGCUCCAUAACAACUUGGAGACAAUGUUUCUAAACACUCAAGAACUACUGAGUAAAGCUAAGUAUCUGCAUUUGGCUGCAGGAGGAAUGAAUGGGGGAUCUUUCUGUGAGGAAAAGUUUAGACAGGAUGUUUUCCCCUCUGCUGAGUACACAAGAUGAGCAAGUUCACUGAUAACAGAUACAUUCGUCAAAAGAGCAGUAAGAAGAUUUGGGGUAUUAGAUUAAUAGCAGCCUCUGUGAAAGCUGUCAGAGUUUACUCCAAUAUCACAUGAGCAAUGUCAAUGCAGCGGCUUCGGGCAUUGCUAAAGCUCAGGCUUGAUCCCUGGCCAGGUUAACUGCACAUGGCCAUGAGCACAGCCAGGAAAAAA